GAUGAACGCUGGCGGCGUGCCUAAUACAUGCAAGUCGAGCGAACAGAUGAGGAGCUUGCUCCUCUGACGUUAGCGGCGGACGGGUGAGUAACACGUGGAUAACCUACCUAUAAGACUGGGAUAACUUCGGGAAACCGGAGCUAAUACCGGAUAAUAUAUUGAACCGCAUGGUUCAAUAGUGAAAGACGGUUUUGCUGUCACUUAUAGAUGGAUCCGCGCCGCAUUAGCUAGUUGGUAAGGUAACGGCUUACCAAGGCAACGAUGCGUAGCCGACCUGAGAGGGUGAUCGGCCACACUGGAACCGAGACACGGUCCAGACUCCUACGGGAGGCAGCAGUAGGGAAUCUUCCGCAAAGGGCGAAAGCCUGACGGAGCAACGCCGCGUGAGUGAUGAAGGUCUUCGGAUCGUAAAACUCUGUUAUUAGGGAAGAGCAAAUGUGUAAGUAACUAUGCACGUCUUGACGGUACCUAAUCAGAAAGCCACGGCUAACUACGUG
rnacentral:rRNA from 1 species